UAAUUUCCUACAUUCAAAAGACUGAGGUCUCUCUAUUAAGGCUUUUUGGACUGUUAAUGCUCUGUUUGCUUUGAUUGUUUAUAUUUUUGACAAGCUCCACCAAAAUUCAUAUCUUAAAAUAAGUCUUUUUUUCUUUGAGAAUUUUCAAAGGGCCCUGGAACUUCUCAAAGAAAUUUGCUCUCUUCCUAUAAGGGGAAAGAUACUAAACUUAUUAGGCUUAUUCAGUAUGUUAAAUUACAUGGAAAACAUUGUCAGACAAGUGAUGAUAAGUCUGCUUAGGUGCUAUUAUGUGGGUAAAUGUUAUUGAUACAGGUGUUUUAAAAUUGUAUAACAUUACUGAAAUUCUGAUCUGUCCUGGUUAUCAGUCAUAAUUCUGGUUAUUAUUUUAAAAUGUUGUAUGUCACAAAAUUAACCAAAUUUCUCUGUCAAUUGCCAUUUAGAGGUCUUGUUGUUUACAGACUUAUUUCUUUGCUCUAAUGCUUUUGCAAAAUGUUUCAACUUCAGAAAAAUUCAUGGAAAAGACUCUGACAUUUACACUGGAAUACAGGUUUCUGACAAACUUUCUGAUCAUAAAACUGAACUUGGUAAGAAAUUACAGAAAUCUGAUGGAGAGACUGAUAACUUCAUGAAGCUGCUAACAAAAAGAUUGGGAUCAAGAAUGGAUUGCACAGGACUGAAUGAACUGAUUAUAAUUUUUAUGAUUUUUCAUUUGAAGUAUUGCUGAAUUUUUAAUGUUUUGUUUUUUCAGAUUUAAGGAAAACUUUUUCUCUUUUCUCCUGAGCUAGCUAUGACAUAACAAUUUGGUAAAUGAUACUUUUAAAUGCUUCUAUUAAAUACUUGAUUGCUUGCUUCCACAAUAUGGGUGUAACCUUGAGAGCCCACCUGCAUCACCACCUUCUGAAAUGAACUUAAUUGAACUGAUCUGUUAUCAGGACUAAGAAAUGUGUUCAGUGAGAUGAAACAAUCUACCAACUCAGCAUCUGGACUAUGAAACUUCUUUAAGUUUCAAAAGGACUGUGAAACUUUUAGUUUCAAAGGCGGGACUGUGGGAGAUCAAGAUUUGGCCACCCUGAAAUAUAUCUCUUUACCUUGA